UACGUAGGGUGCGAGCGUUAAUCGGAAUUACUGGGCGUAAAGCGUGCGCAGGCGGUUUAGUAAGACAGGCGUGAAAUCCCCGGGCUCAACCUGGGAACUGCGCUUGUGACUGCUAAGCUAGAGUACGGCAGAGGGGGGUGGAAUUCCACGUGUAGCAGUGAAAUGCGUAGAGAUGUGGAGGAACACCGAUGGCGAAGGCAGCCCCCUGGGCCGAUACUGACGCUCAUGCACGAAAGCGUGGGUAGCAAACAGGAUUAGAUACCCUGGUAGUCCACGCCCUAAACGAUGUCAACUAGGUGUUGGGAGGGUAAAACCUUUUAGUACCGGAGCUAACGCGUGAAGUUGACCGCCUGGGGAGUACGGCCGCAAGGUUAAAACUCAAAGGAAUUGACGGGGACCCGCACAAGCGGUGGAUGAUGUGGAUUAAUUCGAUGCAACGCGAAAAACCUUACCUACCCUUGACAUGUCCAGAAGCUCUUAGAGAUUUGAGUGUGCCCGAAAGGGAGCUGGAACACAGGUGCUGCAUGGCUGUCGUCAGCUCGUGUCGUGAGAUGUUGGGUUAAGUCCCGCAACGAGCGCAACCCUUGUCGUUAAUUGCCAUCAUUUAGUUGGGCACUUUAACGAGACUGCCGGUGACAAACCGGAGGAAGGUGGGGAUGACGUCAAGUCCUCAUGGCCCUUAUGGGUAGGGCUUCACACGUCAUACAAUGGUCGGUACAGAGGGUUGCCAAGCCGCGAGGUGGAGCCAAUCCCAGAAAGCCGAUCGUAGUCCGGAUUGCAGGCUGCAACUCGCCUGCAUGAAGUCGGAAUCGCUAGUAAUCGCGGAUCAGCAUGUCGCGGUGAAUACGUUCCCGGGUCU
rnacentral:rRNA from 1 species